UACGUAGGGGGCAAGCGUUGUCCGGAUUUAUUGGGCGUAAAGAGCGUGUAGGCGGCCAGGUAGGUCUGCUGUGAAAACUCGAGGCUUAACCUCGAGCUGUCGGCGGAAACCAUCUGGCUAGAGUCCGGAAGAGGAGAAUGGAAUUCCCGGUGUAGCGGUGAAAUGCGCAGAUAUCGGGAAGAACACCCGUGGCGAAGGCGGCAUCCUGGACCGGCAUUGACGCUGAGGCGCGAAAGCCAGGGGAGCAAACGGG
rnacentral:rRNA from 1 species